AGUUGAGUGGCGGACGGGUGAGUAACACGUGGGUAACCUGCCUAAAAGAAGGGGAUAACACUUGGAAACAGGUGCUAAUACCGUAUAUCUCUAAGGAUCGCAUGAUUCUUAGAUGAAAGAUGGUUCUGCUAUCGCUUUUAGAUGGACCCGCGGCGUAUUAACUAGUUGGUGGGGUAACGGCCUACCAAGGUGAUGAUACGUAGCCGAACUGAGAGGUUGAU
rnacentral:rRNA from 1 species